UCUAAAGCCAGCUAUACAGAUUUAUAACACAUGACAAAUGCCUUCUAUAAUUUUUUUAAAAGAUUUUAUUUCUUUAUUUAACAGAGAGAGGGAGAUCACAAGAAGGUAGAGCAGCAGGCAGAGAGAGAGAGGGAAGCAGGCUCCUUGCUGAGCAGAGAGCCCGACGACGUGGGGCUCCAUCCCAGGACCCCGAGACCGUGACCUGAGCCGAAGACAGAGGCUUUACCCACUAAGCCACUCAGGUGCCCCAACAAAUGCAUUCUAAAAGGAAGAAUGAUCCUAGGUAUGUUUGUUCCAUCAUAAAUAGAACCAAAAUAGGGAAGAAAAAAAAAGACAACUAAUUUUAAGAAGAUAUUUUAAUAUGUCUUUUAAAGGUCCAUGAUCUUCAUUCCAUUCAGAAGAAGGAAGAAUCUCUUAAAGCCUUCCGAAUUGUUCUUUAACAGUGCAAGAUCUCUUGGAUUCUGGACUUCGGUGUCAUGCAAAUUCGGCUACAUAUCCUGUGUCAGUGGCUCUGAAACUGUCAGCCUCCUACCCUCCAUUCCGUUAUCACUGGAAUAGCAUUCCUUAAGGUUCUUCAAGCCAAUAAGAUUGUGGAUUUUCUAUUGAAGUUUUAGCUACCCUAAAUGAUGAAGACCUGUGCCUAUCGUCAGUUGAAAAGUCAUAUAUAUGGGAAGCCCACUCCGUGUGAUUCCAUUCUACCAAGUGUUGAUUUGUCUCCAACGUCUGUCUACUUUUGGACACUAUCUAGUGCCUUCAGAGCUGUUAACAAAAAGGGGCCUUACCUGUUCAACGUCUGUGCUAAUUAAUGGUCACAGCUGCAGCCUGGACAUCCUCCUGAAGAAUGCAAAGGAUACCUGGACCCUAACUGAGCGGAAUUAAAGAAAGGGGUUUACAGUCCAUCUACCAUUUUGUAUGAUUGCCUAAUGUUUUCCAGCCACUGUGCUUGGCAUUAUUUUAUCAUGUCACCCAAGAUAGAACAUCUUUGUAUCUUUUUUUUAAAUUAAUUAGUUGAAAGAACUCUAAGUGAUUUAAUUUUAAAAGUAGGUCUACCUAACUUAAAUUUUUGGACUCUGUAAAUGACAUGAAAAAAUGUUCUUGGCAUCAAAAUUUAAUCAUUUAAAAUUUAAAAUUUGAUCAGUUCUCCACUAUCUAUCUGUUUCACAUUUAUUUUAGUAUAUCCUGUUGUAGAAACACUUUGUUCAUCUAAAAGGGAUCUUCAAAGUAGCUUUUAAUUUUUUUUCAUGAAAUUAACAAGAGUUUUGUCUAAAUUAAUUUGUCUGCACUGGUUCAUAAUAUUGGUGGAUAUUUACUACCAACAUUUCCAUUAAGCAAAGGACCUGAACUAUGUCAUACCUUUAGAUUGCUGAGUUCUUAUUUCUAUAAUGAAUAAUAUUGAAUGCACACUAAAGUGAAAUUUAAC
rnacentral:lncRNA from 1 species